rnacentral:rRNA from 1 species
UACGUAGGUGGCGAGCGUUGUCCGGAAUUACUGGGCGUAAAGGGUGCGUAGGCGGCUCUUUAAGUGGGAUGUGAAAUCCCUGGGCUCAACCCAGGAACUGCAUUCCAAACUGGAGAGCUAGAGUGCAGGAGAGGAAAGCGGAAUUCCCAGUGUAGCGGUGAAAUGCGUAGAGAUUGGGAGGAACACCAGUGGCGAAGGCGGCUUUCUGGACUGUAAUUGACGCUGAGGCACGAAAGCGUGGGGAGCAAACAGG